rnacentral:rRNA from 1 species
AGUGAACGCUGGCGGUAGGCCUAACACAUGCAAGUCGAACGGCAGCACGGUAAGAGCUUGCUCUUACGGGUGGCGAGUGGCGGACGGGUGAGGAAUACAUCGGAAUCUACUUUUUCGUGGGGGAUAACGUAGGGAAACUUACGCUAAUACCGCAUACGACCUACGGGUGAAAGCAGGGGAUCUUCGGACCUUGCGCGUUUGAAUGAGCCGAUGUCGGAUUAGCUAGUUGGCGGGGUAAAGGCCCACCAAGGCGACGAUCCGUAGCUGGUCUGAGAGGAUGAUCAGCCACACUGGAACUGAGACACGGUCCAGACUCCUACGGGAGGCAGCAGUGGGGAAUAUUGGACAAUGGGCGCAAGCCUGAUCCAGCCAUACCGCGUGGGUGAAGAAGGCCUUCGGGUUGUAAAGCCCUUUUGUUGGGAAAGAAAAGCAGCAGGUUAAUACCCCGCUGUUCUGACGGUACCCAAAGAAUAAGCACCGGCUAACUUCGUG